AGUUUGAUCCUGGCUCAGGAUGAACGCUAGCUACAGGCUUAACACAUGCAAGUCGAGGGGCAUCAGUUUGGUUUGCUUGCAAACCAAAGCUGGCGACCGGCGCACGGGUGAGUAACACGUAUCCAACCUACCUCAUACUCGGGGAUAGCCUUUCGAAAGAAAGAUUAAUAUCCGAUAGCAUAUAUUUCCCGCAUGGGUUUUAUAUUAAAGAAAUUCGGUAUGAGAUGGGGAUGCGUUCCAUUAGUUUGUUGGGGGGGUAACGGCCCACCAAGACUACGAUGGAUAGGGGUUCUGAGAGGAAGGUCCCCCACAUUGGAACUGAGACACGGUCCAAACUCCUACGGGAGGCAGCGGUGAGGAAUAUUGGUCAAUGGACGAGAGUCUGAACCAGCCAAGUAGCGUGCAGGAAGACGGCCCUAUGGGUUGUAAACUGCUUUUAUAAGGGAAUAAAGUGAGUCUCGUGAGACUUUUUGCAUGUACCUUAUGAAUAAGGACCGGCUAAUUCCGUGCCAGCAGCCGCGGUAAUACGGAAGGUCCGGGCGUUAUCCGGAUUUAUUGGGUUUAAAGGGAGCGUGGGCCGGAGAUUAAGCGUGUUGUGAAAUGUAGACGCUCAACGUCUGCACUGCAGCGCGAACUGGUUUCCUUGAGUACGCACAAAGUGGGCGGAAUUCGUGGUGUAGCGGUGAAAUGCUUAGACAUCACGAAGAACUCCGAUUGCGAAGGCAGCUCACUGGAGCGCAACUGACGCUGAAGCUCGAAAGUGCGGGUAUCGAACAGGAUUAGAUACCCUGGUAGUCCGCACGGUAAACGAUGGAUGCCCGCUGUUGGUCUGAAUAGGUCAGCGGCCAAGCGAAAGCAUUAAGCAUCCCACCUGGGGAGUACGCCGGCAACGGUGAA
rnacentral:rRNA from 1 species